rnacentral:misc_RNA from 1 species
AAUUCUCAACCUAUAAAUCCUUGUGGUUUUUAGGCUUGGACUUGGAGGCUUUUGCUGGCUUUACCGUCGGCUCCUCUUAAAUGCAUUAGCUUGAUUCCUUGCGGAUCGGCUCUCAGUGUGAUAAUUAUCUGCGCUGUGACCGUGAAGCGUUUGGCGAGCUUCUAACCGUCUCUUUGAGACAAACACUUUGACAU